rnacentral:rRNA from 1 species
CCUACGGGUGGCAGCAGUGGGGAAUAUUGGGCAAUGGGCGAAAGCCUGACCCAGCAAUGCCGCGUGCAUGAAGACGGUCUUAGGAUUUUAAAAUUCUGUCCUAUGGGAAGAAAAAGCUGACGGUACCAUAUGAGGAAGCCCCGGCUAACUACGUGCCAGCAGCCGCGGUAAUACGUAGGGCGCGAGCGUUGUCCGGAAUUACUGGGGGUAAAGAGAGCGUAGGCGGAACUACAAGUCACAUGUGAAAUACCCGGGCUUAACUUGGGGGUUGCAUGGGAUACUGUAGAGCUUGAGAACAGGGGCGGCAAGCGGAAUGCAUAGUGUAGCGGUGAAAUGCAUAGAGAUUAGGAGGAACACCAGUGGCGAAGGCGGCUUGCUGGACUGAAACUGACGCUGAGGCUCGAAAGCGUGGGGAGCAAACAGGAUUAGAUACCCUGGUAGUC